UCCUCUGUGCACUCGGUGGCUCAGAUGGUUAGAGCGUCUGCCAUGUAAGCAGGUGCUCCCGGGUUCGAUUCCCGGUCGAGGAA